rnacentral:rRNA from 1 species
GACGAACGCUGGCGGCGUGCCUAAUACAUGCAAGUCGAACGCAGUGGGGACGGGUGAGUAACACGUGGGUAACCUCCCAUCAGAGGGGAUAACCCUUUGAAACAGGUGCUAAACCGAUACUGAUGGAUGGACCCGCGGUGCAUUAGCUAGUGGGUGAGGUAACGGCUCACCAAGGCCACGAUGCAUAGCUGGUCUGAGAGGAUGAGCAGCCACACUGGGACUGAGACACGGUCCAGACUCCUACGGGAGGCAGCAGUAGGGAAUAUUGGGCAAUGGACGAAAGCCUGAUCGAGCAAUGCCGCGUGAGUGAAGAAGGUUUUCGGAUUGUAAAACUCUUUAGGUUGAGAAGCGGUAUCUACAGAGAAAGCCCCGGCUAACUACGUGCCAGCAGCCGCGGUAAUUC